rnacentral:rRNA from 1 species
GAUAUGGCUCAGGAUGAACGCUAGCGACAGGCUUAACACAUGCAAGUCGAGGGGCAGCAUGGUCUUAGCUUGCUAAGGCCGAUGGCGACCGGCGCACGGGUGAGUAACACGUAUCCAACCUGCCGUCUACUCUUGGACAGCCUUCUGAAAGGAAGAUUAAUACAAGAUGGCAUCAUGAGUCCGCAUGUUCACAUGAUUAAAGGUAUUCCGGUAGACGAUGGGG